rnacentral:tRNA from 1 species
GGAGAGGUGUCCGAGCCGGUCGAAGGAGCUCGCCUGCUAAGCGAGUAUACAGGCUUACACCUGUAUCGAGGGUUCGAAUCCCUCCCUCUCCGCCA